GAUUAUUAGUUGCUGGUUGCUGAGAAUGCUGGUACGAGCAAGAAUAAAGCAUAGUGGCAGAUCGAUAAAGGUAGGUCAACUCAAGAUAUUGUUGCUGAGAUGGGCGUGAGGGUCCAGACUUGCAUAAACUUGUCUAAACUCGAGAAGCAGUACU